GGUCUUGUAUUCAUAUCAUGAUAUUAGAAUGCAAUUCUGAAGGUGUAGUUAAAAUACUAAGACUU
rnacentral:tRNA from 1 species